AGAGUUUGAUCAUGGCUCAGGAUGAACGCUGGCGGCGUGCUUAAUACAUGCAAGUCGAACGCUUUGUGGUUCAACUGAUUUGAAGAGCUUGCUCAGAUAUGACGAUGGACAUUGCAAAGAGUGGCGAACGGGUGAGUAACACGUGGGAAACCUACCUCUUAGCAGGGGAUAACAUUUGGAAACAGAUGCUAAUACCGUAUAACAAUAGCAACCGCAUGGUUGCUACUUAAAAGAUGGUUCUGCUAUCACUAAGAGAUGGUCCCGCGGUGCAUUAGUUAGUUGGUGAGGUAAUGGCUCACCAAGACGAUGAUGCAUAGCCGAGUUGAGAGACUGAUCGGCCACAAUGGGACUGAGACACGGCCCAUACUCCUACGGGAGGCAGCAGUAGGGAAUCUUCCACAAUGGGCGAAAGCCUGAUGGAGCAACGCCGCGUGUGUGAUGAAGGGUUUCGGCUCGUAAAACACUGUUGUAAGAGAAGAAUGACAUUGAGAGUAACUGUUCAAUGUGUGACGGUAUCUUACCAGAAAGGAACGGCUAAAUACGUGCCAGCAGCCGCGGUAAUACGUAUGUUCCAAGCGUUAUCCGGAUUUAUUGGGCGUAAAGCGAGCGCAGACGGUUAUUUAAGUCUGAAGUGAAAGCCCUCAGCUCAACUGAGGAAUUGCUUUGGAAACUGGAUGACUUGAGUGCAGUAGAGGAAAGUGGAACUCCAUGUGUAGCGGUGAAAUGCGUAGAUAUAUGGAAGAACACCAGUGGCGAAGGCGGCUUUCUGGACUGUAACUGACGUUGAGGCUCGAAAGUGUGGGUAGCAAACAGGAUUAGAUACCCUGGUAGUCCACACCGUAAACGAUGAGUGCUAGGUGUUUGAGGGUUUCCGC
rnacentral:rRNA from 1 species